ensembl:lncRNA
AAAUGAAGAAAAUAGGAGCAUAAUUGUAGGAGAAGACCCUCCCGCAGCUGAGAUGCUCAAGAUUUACAUGCUAAAAUUGCUACUGAUCUCAUGCGACAUCCACAAGAUCGUGUCCGAGGGGAAAUUCAACUUUUUCCGUUGAGAGCAGGGCAAGCAGGCUCUCACGACACAGAUAUUCAGACACAGACAGUGACUUUUUUCUUUCAAUUAUUGUUUUAUGUAAGAUGCUACAUUUUUGGCCAGUUGCAAUUGUAAGUGGGCCUAAUAAAAAAAAUCCCAUUUCUAAUAGGACAUAUAUUUUUUUGUGAAAUAUGUUGUUAAGCCUCGUAGCCGAUCUCCGUCAGUUACAUUAUUUUAUAUAGGCCUAGGCUCGGAAGAAAUAAGCCCUCUUGUUGUUUAUAAAGUCUAAUAAAUAAAAAAAAGAUUGUU